AUCGGUCCUCCUCUCCCACAACUCAACGACUCCACCUUCUCCAGCACUACCUCUCCACCUUUGUCGAAGCCACCAACUUUGAAAAUCUCUCUACCCUUCUCCUUCCCCCAAAACCCAAAUCUCUAUCCUUUUCCUUCCCUCAAAACCCAACUCUGAAAUUUUUCUAAAAACUAAAACUAAAACCUGUAACAUGCGACCACUCCUAUUUAUUCUUAGAAACCAUCUCCUUCCCCGCAAAUCCUCACCCAAAACUCCUAUAGCAUGCGACCCCUCCUCUCUCUUCUUAGAAACCAUCUAGUCUAAACUUGCUCAAGUAGCAAAUAUAGUACCAGUCCGAUUUGUGUGAGCCCUGAAGCAAGAUUUGGAAGAGGAGAUCAGGUUUAUUUGGGCGACUCGAACUGAGAUUCAGGGUUGCUAGGAACACAACCCAGCAGAUUGGUAGUAGAUUGAGUUUGAGAAGAAACUAUGGGGUCAAAGAUAAUAAAUUUGGGGUGGAUGCCUAGGUCCUUAUGCUCAAGGGUGUGAAGGAAGCUUACUUAUGUUAUCAAGGUGGUGACAGCCUUCUAAUCAGUUCCCAUCAAGCUUACUUAUCAAGCUUGAUGUUCCCAUCUAAAAAAAAAAAAACCAAUUAGGCCAAAAAAAUUACUUUUAUCCUCACCUUCACACAAGUUAACUUUUAAAAACCCACACGGUUGAAGAGAAAGAACAGAGUCCUACCUUCACUAGCUUGCCACCACCGGUCAGCCGGAAAAACCACUACUGGUAAAACUAAUUUCUUGCAUUUUCCCCUUUCAGUUGUAAUACCUGGGAUUUUCUUUCUUAAUCUUCUUCUCCCUCUAAGUGAGAGUUUGUUUGUGUAAUUUGGGUGGCUCAAUUUCUUUUUCCUUCCCCUUGAUGUUCACACUGUCAUGCUACUGUAUUGUGCUUUUUCCUGAGACUUCGUAAGGGUGCGGAGAGAGUUUAGAAGGCUGUCACCACCGGUCUACCGCCACCAUCAAAUGGCUGGAACCGCUGUAGAUAAAUUUUUUUUCUUGUCCCUUUAUUGAGCGUUAAAUGUGAUUUAGGUUUGGGUAUUGUGGGUGUAUUGGUUUUGAUAUAGGAAUUUUGUGUUUUAAGUUGAGGUUGUUUUCCUUCUCAUUUGUGGUUCAGAU